rnacentral:rRNA from 1 species
AGCAGUCGCCGCGGGAAUACGUAGGGUGCGAGCGUUAAUCGGAAUUACUGGGCGUAAAGCGUACGCAGGCGGUUUGUUAAGUCAGAUGUGAAAUCCCCGAGCUUAACUCGGGAACUGCAUUUGAAACUGGCAGGCUAGAGUCUCGUAGAGGGGGGUAGAAUUCCAGGUGUAGCGGUGAAAUGCGUAGAGAUCUGGAGGAAUACCGGUGGCGAAGGCGGCCCCCUGGACAAAGACUGACGCUCAGGUGCGAAAGCGUGGGGAGCAAACAGGAUUAGAUACCCCGGUAGUCCCUGUCUCUUAUAC